GAUGAAGAACGCAGCGAAAUGCAAUAAUUAAUGUGAAUUGCAGAAUUCCGUGAAUCAUCGAGUCUUUGAACGCACAUUGCGCCUCAUGGCAUUCCGUGAGCCAUGCCCAUCUCAGCGUUAGAAAAUAUUCUCAAAUUUUAGUUUUGUGCUAAAAUUUGGAUCAUGUCAAAGAAGCUAUUACUAUUAUUGUGAUCGCUCUUUGGAAAUUGAUAGGUCUUUGAGUUGCUACUCAUAGAACGUUAUGAAUCUUUCUUCGUUCUAUUGUAAUUCACUCUGGUAGUCCUAAAACUUGUAUGCCUGUGGCAUAUCUUGUAAUUUGACCUGAGAUUGGGUAGGGAUACCCGCUGAACUUAAGCAUAUCAAUAAGCGGAGGA
rnacentral:misc_RNA from 1 species